ensembl:snoRNA
GAAAUGGGUCACUCAAUAGUUCCCCAUGCCAGAGCAAACUGUGGCCUUGAAUCAUUGCCUGGCCUCUGCCUGUAUUCUACAGGCACUGAAAUGGGUUGCAUAGUG